UAUUAGGUCAUUUCCGCGGUGAAAACAAUUGUGGAAUGCAGAGAUUUGUAAGGAUACCAACCUUACACCCGUCCCUAAUACAUUCGAUUUAGUUUUAAAUAGUGUCUAUAUUGCGCCCAAUCAUGGCCAAUAAUAAUAUAAUCUUUACACCAUUUUUACCACUGAAGAAGAAACCCGAUCGAGAUUCUGAGUGGAGAAAAUUAAAGGACAAAUCCAGAAAUCGGAUUAAUAUCGGAGAAGCUUUUACCAGAUGGAGGAACCUCAAGGAGGGGAAAUCUAUGCCUACAGAAGCCGAAGUGGCUUUGUUUUUGCUUGACAGGUAAUUCUGUUGUUUUUCUGCAGUCUACCAGUUUGGCAGGGUUGCCAGGUCUACCUAAAAUAUCCAAAACAAUUACUACCCAAAACCCCGCUCACAAGGCCAGAAAACUAGACAAAAAAAAAAUGUACGAGAGGAGAAAGUGGGACACUUCUUGCAUUUUCCGUCUUUCGACAUCUAUCCAUCUAUCCAUGAUACAUUUCUAAAAUCACACACACAUUUUCUUUGUUGAUAUAUUAACAGGAUGCAUGACACACCCAUUUUGUCUACACUGAGUCAAAUAAAAAUAUUUUUCUCGCAUUUGAUAGCCUGGACAGCAGUUUAGAUACACUGGGACAACAUUAUUAUGGUCCUAAUUGUACCCCAAUGACAAUAACAUUUUGUGAUUAUGAAACAAGUGUAGAUUCCUGAAAUACAUAAUGUGUUGGGCUAUUAGCCCAUUGGGGUACAAUUAGGACUAUAAUAAUGGUGUCCUAGUUUCCAAAAUGCAAAAAGUUCCCCACUUUAUCUGAAUACACUCAAUUAACAAUACUACAAAAAAAUGAACAGGAUAUAGUACUACAAUAACCAGAGCCCUACCUAACCAGUACAGGAGAUCCCUAAUGUAAACUUGAUAUCUUUCCUCCAUUGGAAAAGCCUAUAAGACUGUCCCACUUUAGCUACUCCGCGCUGUCCCACUUUAGCUACUCCGCGCUGUCCCACUUUAGCUACUCCGCGCUGUCCCACUUUAGCUACUCCGCGCUGUCCCACUUUAGCUACUCCGCGCUGUCCCACUUUAGCUACUCCGCGCUGUCCCACUUUAGCUACUCCGCGCUGUCCCACUUUAGCUACUCCGCGCUGUCCCACUUUAGCUACUCCACGCUGUCCCACUUUAGCUAGCUAUGGUUGGUAAAGCGGAACAAUAACAAGACUGAAUUACAAGAUCGAAACAUAAUAUUGGCAACUUCUUUAUGUAUUUACAUGCAGUACUGCAUAAUAUGCACAUUUAAAUCAACAUUUGGCACAGUGCAAUAUUUGACAAUUUUAUAACCUCAACAUCAAAACAGAAAGAAAGCUAUGUCGCUGUGUUUUGCAGGGUGAGCUUCCUGUUUGAAGCUUGCUCUGUCCCCCUCUGAUGUCACACCAAUAAAGUGAUGUGAUUUUGAUCGUGUAGUUUCUCUGCCAGGGCAUAACAAUAGUUUAGAUUUUCUCAUGUCAGACCAAUAAAUAAAUGGGUAAGGAUUAAGCUGUGCCGGUUGAAAUGAUGUUCCACUCUUUCCGAGUUCACCCUUUAGGCUAAACGCCAGUCAUGCUUGACAAGUAUAAUGUAGGAUAAUUAACGUCUAAAGCCUUGAUUCUGUUGACAUACUCGAGGCACGGAGGUUCGGUCAGAUCAAAUGGUCACAAGCUGAGAGAAAGGCUAGUUAGUACCUGUUGUGCACAUUUGCGCAUAGCCUACUGCUAUUGUCCCAGAACCAGGCUUGGAGCAAGUCCCAGCACAGAGGGGGCGGGGCGCUCUCAACGGGCCCUUCUAACCAUAUCAUAGAAGGGGAAAAAAGAGAGGCCAUAUCAGCUAUCAUAAACACAAAUUGGACAUCAUCACAUAGAGCCAUGCAAGCCUAUUUCCAAUAAAACAUACAGAUAGUGUAUCACUUUGCCAGACACAGGUUGUCUGUCGGCGGUGAAUCGCAAUAGAAUGUUUCAGCACACGUCGCUCUACAAAGCGCAGUGGUCGGGAGAGAUCCGCAGGUUGUCAGCAGCACCAAAGCGGCGACUCAUCAAAACCAUUCAUCGCAACGCAUGAAGCUCUCGUUUAGCAGACAUAGGCCUACAUUCAAAGAUAAAGUAGUAGGUCACAACUACAAAACAGGCACAUCGUAAGCAACACGAGGCAGACAGUGUCACACACGCACACGGCCUGCAUAUAGGUGUCAAGAGUUGAUGAGCAAGAGGGCCUGUAAUAACAUGUCAACUGCUUUCAUCUUAACCAAAGACCAAUCAAAAAGGAUGUUUCACUCACCAGGUUGUCACUGCUCAGCCAAAAUAUCGAUGUUGUAGUCUGAUGUCAUCUAGUCCAUUUUGUUAAAUUCAAUUAUCACGCGUUCAAUAGAACUAAAUAAUAAUCCCAACACUUGAACAAACUAUUUACAAAUCAGGGUCCCGUUUUAAAAACGUCAUCCUCCUCUCCUUCAUGUUGGUAAACUUGCCAACCACUUUGUCAGUGUCUUUAGUGCCUUGACCUAUUCCAUAUUUUUCCUGAAUGAAAUAUAUAAUAACAAUAACCCUGAAUUCAAAAUGGAUUAAAUAUAUAUUUCCUCACCCAUGUACACACAAUACCCCACAAUCAGUAAAAACAUGUUUGAUUUUUUUUGCAAAUUUUUUGCAAAUGAAUUACAGAAAUAUAUAAUUUGCAUAAGUAUUCACACCCCUGAGCAUUCACACCCCUGAGACAAUACUUUGUAGAAGCACCUUUGGCAGCGAUUACAGCUGUGUGUCUUUCUGGGUGAGUCUUAAGAGCUGUUAAAUUGAUUGUUGAUCAUUGCUUAGACAACUAUUUUCAGGUCUUGCCAUAGAUGUUCAAGUAGAUUUAAGUCAACUGUAAUUCGGUCACUCAGGAACAUUCACUGUCUUCUUGGUAAGCAACUCCAGUGUAGAUUUUCUUCUGCUUUAGGUUAUUGUCCUUGCUGAAAGGUGAAUUAAAGCAGACUGAACCAGGUUUUCCUUUAGAAUUUUGCUGUGGACACUAUUCUUUUUUUAUCAUGAAAAACUCCCCAGUCCUUAACUAUCACAAGCAUACCCAUAACAUGAUGCAGCCACCACUAUUCUUGAAAAUAUUGAAUGUUUGUUGUAUUUGCCCCAAACAUAACUUUGUAUUCAAGGCAAAAAGUUAAUUGCUUUGCCACAUUUGUUGUAGUAUUCCUUUACUGCCUUGUUGCAAACAGGAUGCAUGUUUUGGAAUAUUUUUUUAUUCUGUACAGCCUUCCUUCCUUCACUCUAUCUGUUAGGUUAGUAUUGUGGAGUAACUACGUUGUUGAUCCAUCCUCGGUUAAUAACUUUACCAUGCUCAAAGGGAUAUUCAUUGUAAUUUGUAAACAUUUCGAAAACAUAAUUCCACUUUGACAUUAAGGAAUAUUGUGUGUAAGCCAUCUACAUGUAAUCAAUUUUUAAUUCAGGCUGUAACACAACAAAAUGUGGAAAACUCAAGGGGUGUGAAUACUUUCUUAAUCACUAUGUCCCACUCAGUACAGAGCAAAGUGAGGUUGGAUAGUCUGGCCUUAUUCAUGUAUGCACACACAUAUCUCUUGAUGAGCUUCAGGCGGCUGAAACUUUGCUUGGCACUGCUGAUGGCAAUGACACUGCUGAAGGGAAGGAUGUAUGUCUUCUUUAAUAAACUGUUCCAAAACACCAACAUUAAUUUAAACUCAAAUGUGCUCAUCUUUGAGAGCAGGUCAUCAGCUGGUGUAGUAUGGUUAUGGUGAUUUAUUCAGAACAGAGUUCAAGGAUUGCAUGCAGGCUCUGUAUAAUCACUUCUGGUGGCCUGUUUCCUGGAGGCCCACCUUGUGGCCAGUAGGCUCUUCAGUUUGAGAACAGCGAGAGAUUCAUCUGCAUGUUUUCCUGUUCCUUCUUCAGUAUUUUAAACCUUGGAAGGCUAGAAGUCAGAAAGCAGUACAGGGUCUCCAGUGCACCCUAAAAUAAUUUAGCUCUACACAAGGAACAAUGAGCAUCCAAUAGAAAUAAAUGUAUUGUGUGUGCGAAGUAGUGCACGUACACAUCCUUAUUCUAACAGUUUAUUUUUGUUUUUUCAUUGCCACGGGCGCGAGUCCAUGCUUCUAUCAACACCCGCCUCAUUAGCCAAUGUCAGGCUAGAGCUAGCAAUGGUUGGAAUGGACAAUGACGAAAAGUUAGCUGCCCCCCCUCCACAACCUGCUGCCCCCCCUCCCUCCCCAGAAGAUAUCAUCGUGAACAUCAACUGCCUGCUGCAGCUGUUUCAGCAGUGUGAGCAGUGCAGGCGUGAGAGUGUGAUCCAGACGCAGGGAGACAGGACAUGCCUCUCUGUGACCCAACACUGCCAGAGCUGCAACCACCGCAGGACAUGGGCAAGAAACACAUCUACUGUCCAGACAAUGCACAAAGGAAAUGGGGAUGAGCCACAGAAUAUUCAGUAGGUUGACAUGCAGGUGGCCCUGCCAUCUGAGGACACAGAUGGAGCCUUGCCGUCUGAGAACCGAGAUGGGGACUUGCCAUCGGAGGACAGAGAUGAGAAUCUGGAUCUGACUGGCUCUUUGGAGAUGGAGGUGACUGUAGACCAGCCACCAAGACCAGGAGGAAGUGGCACGUCCCUGGUGAGGGGGAAAAAUGAGGGGAACAAAGGAACAGAGGAGAGAAAGAAAGUGACUAAGGUGGUGUUGGACAGUGAGCUGGACUGUGCACGAAGCCAGGAGGACAAUGGCCUGUCCUCACAGGAGAAUGAGGAAGGAGAGGAGAGAAAGGGAAAGUUCCUAGGUGUUGAACAACAGGAGAAUGGUGCUGCGCAGCGGGCCUCUAUUGAAGUGACAAUAUACUCUAUAGAGCCUGAGGACUUAAAGCCCUACCUCUCAGAUAGACAGAGGAGAGAAGACAGAGGUCGCUGCAGAUGGGUGUGAGGGGGAGGGUGAAGAGACAGAUGAGGAAGAUAGACAGACAGUGACUCUGAAUUCGACCCAGAAGCUGAGGAAGAGGGACAGAGAGAGUGACUCUGAAUUUGACCCAGAAGAGGAGAAACCAAUGAGUAGUAGAGGGAGAGGGAGACGGAGAGGCAGGGGAAGGCAAUUGCAGCAGCCUACAGGAGAGACUGGUUUGGAUGAGUCUGCUGAAGACUCUGAUGGAUCACCUUCAUCAUCACCCCAAAGAGACCAGCAGGACCAGGAGUCGUUCAGCGGUGCCGCUGGAGAACUGGACUCCGGGGACCUUGCCAGCAUCCGGCAGAAAUUCAAAUACUCUAAAAAACACCACAUGGUCCUCUGUCAUGAAUGUGGCGUCCUGUACACCACCAGGCUGAAACACCAUAAGUGUGAACACAAGUUCAUGGUCCGCUGUCCAGACUGUGGGCAGGGUUGUGCGAGUGAACUGGGCCUCAAGCAGCACCGGAGGCUACACCAUCAGGACCUUAAGUUUCCCUGUAAGUUCUGCCUCCAAUCCUUCAGGACGCGGCCGGACAAGCUGACCCACGAAAAGACCCACAGAUUCAAAAGAUUAAAAGGUCACAGAUGCUACAGCUGCUCAGAGUGCUCACUGAGCUUUGACAACAUCCUCAUAUGGAAUCGCCAUCUCAGAGCACGAGUCCAAGAGACACAUCUGUCACACAUGUUACAAGGAAUUCAACAAAGGUCACCUCCUGGAGAGGCACGCACUGUCCCACAGUGACGACAAGCCCUUCAAGUGCCAGGUGUGCCAGCGUGCCUUUGCUCAGCCAGCUGAAGUCCCACCUGCGCAUCCACACUGGGGAGAGGCCCUUCCAAUGCCAGCGCUGCGACAAGAGCUUCAACCACAACGUCAGCCUCAAGAACCACAUCAGACGCUACCACAGCCCAGACUCAGGGCUGGACCCUGAUGGAGGCACAGAAGUUGGGGGACAGGAGGGGAGGAGGGAAACAGAUGUCAGGACUGGGCAGGAGGGAGGGGAGGUGAGACUGAGGAAGCCCCGGCAGCAGGUAGAGCUUACCUUUAUGACUGAGUGGGAGAUGUGGGCAGGAGGAGAGGGAGCAAAGAGAGUGGAGGAGAAACCGAGGAAGAGGAAACGCUAGUGCAAUGAUGAUCCUGAAGAGGAGGAGGAGGAGAGGCAGCAAGAGAGUGACUCUGACUUUGGCCCAGAGGCGGAGAAGAAGAUGGGAAGUAGUAAAGGGAGGGGGCCAGGGAGAGGAAGUGGAGGGAGUCACUAGUAGAGGCCUACAGGAGAGACUUCUGCAGGCACUGUUGUUGGAGAGAUGGGGGGACAGAGAGACAAAGGUUGUAUUCAUUAGUGGACAUUGUACCAAAACAUUUUGUAACCGAAAAUGAAAACAAGUGUUUGUUAUUGGACAAGUUCAGGUACUGCCUCGCCGUUUUGGCCCAUUUGCUUCUGAUUUGUUCUUAGUGAAUAUUACUUUUUAAAAAAUUGAACCUUUAUUUAACUAGGCAAGUCAGUUAAGAACAAAUUCUUAUUUACAAUGACGGCCUACCCCAGCCAAAACCUAACGACACUGUGGGACUCCCAAUCAUGGCCGGUUGUGAUACAGCCUGGAAUCGAACUAGGGUCUGUAGUGACACCUCUAGCACUGAGAUGCAGUGCCUUAGACCGCUGCUUCACUCGGGAGUCCCAAGACUAAGCAGGAAACAUCUCCUGGCACUAGAAUUUGUUUUCCUAAUUUUCUGUCUUUGAAUUUAGAACGUUUUUGGAUUCCUAGAACCUGAUUGAAGAAUCUAAAAUAUAUUUAGAUUUGUUGAACUCUUCUUUUGGUUACUACAUGAUUCCAUAUGUGUUAUUUCAUAGUUUUGAUGUCUACACUAUUCUACAAUGUAGAAAAUUGUGCAAAUAAAGAAAAACCCUUGAAUUA